GAUACAACCAAUGAGGCAAUUUCUGAAGGUAAAGAGUUGUAUGUGUUUUUCAUGUAGUGAGUGCUUUGCUUUAUUUUCUUCCGUCACAUUGGUUGAAACUUCUCUACUGCUGAGAUACUUAUUGCUUAAUUACCGAGGUAGAAUCUCCAUUAUUAUGUAUAUUCUUACUAAAAUUAACUCAUGAGAAUAUUAAUUAAUGUCCAUGCUAUUUCACAAUCAACUAUGAACUUAAGGUGGUGUUGCCAAAGGCAGUGCUCGCUAAUGCAUGGACGGCUGACAAAGAAGAUCAUCACCACUAGCAUGUAUACAUCAUCAAGCAAGGCAAAGCUUGCUGGUGGAACCAAGAUGAUGACUUUUUUUUGGGUGAUGCACCUAUAGUAAUCAGUGACCUAUACUAACUGAAGAUGGACGAGAGAACAAAAUAAGAAAGAGGUGGCCAUUGAAUUGUCACGAUAGAUCAAAAUCAUGAUCGGUUGUUUGAUGCAUUUGUGCUCGUCGGCGGGACGGUGCAAGGCGCAACUCCGACGCGGUUCCUCGCCGGUUGGAUGGCGUUCAGGCGCAACCCCGGCGUGCACUGAGUACUGCCUCGGCUACAACCUCUCUCGGUGAACUGUAGCGACAUCGUGUGCGUGGGGGUCAAGCACGAUAGCGCUGAUGGGUGCCGUCUCCGUCGACUGGAGAACCGCAGGUCGCGGCUCACGCCGCUGCUCUACUGGGGUCAUCAGCCUUUGUACUCGCGUUGCGCGUGCACUCAGUGAACCAACAGAGUCGUGGAUGCAGUGUGAGCGGUAAGCCAGAGCUGCAAUUCGUUGAACAUGGGGUGCUAUUGUGAUGAUCUCAUGCCUCACGCUCUAUAGAGGUACCCACCAUUGAGACUUCUGGGAAACACUGCUCCGACCGGCUGGAGGUGUCGCCGUCGAUGAAAGAGCGCCAUGGAGAGGAGAGCUUUCGCCACUUCCUCCACCACGACAUUUCAAAGCAGUUGUUGCCUCCCCAUCGCUCAGUAGCACGAGCAGCGGUGGAAGCAGGACCAUGCCGUCUUGGACCAGGUCGCGUCCCCAGAAGUGGACAAUGAAGGCCUUUGACAGCUAUGUUUCCAUGAAAUGCAAACUGCGGCGGAUGACCACACUCCUCCAUAGAGACAAGCGAACACGCUAGGACUGAAUUUGCAUACACUGCACGCAAAGAUUUAUUUGGAAACGGUCAACAUGGCCAAUCAGAAGGAAGGAUACAUCAGUCUGCAAAAUCAUUUUGCAAUAUAUCUAUGUCCCAUGUGUAGUAGCCAUCACCAAUUCUAUUUGUGAUCCACAGCUUUCAAAUCUCUCUCUAUAUAUAGGAGUCUGGCUAAGUCAAAUAUAAUGGUACAUCAAGCUAGCUAUCUAAGUUACUAUCUUAUCUAAGAUGUAAUUGAUGCUUUCUUUUGCCCAGUAGUAUGUAUUUCAAUGGAUUAACUACUGUGUUAGUCAUGUUUCAAUGGAUUAACUAUUGUGUUUGUCAUGUAAAACUAUGUGUCCUAUGACAUGUGACUUUCUAUGCACCUGUAAUCUCACUGCCACUGGCUCUACUCUUCUACACUGAACUUUAUGUCCUGUUGCUCUUGAACAAGCUAAAAUACUUCUGUUUUAUCAUGGGCAUGAAAUCAAAUUAUUGUAUUAUGAAACAUGCUAAGCUUGUCCAAUAAUUACAACAUGCCUGGCACACACGCUUAGGCACAACUGUUAGGACCUGGCUCUAAGCGCCAUGGCACUCUCAAUGAUAAUAAAUUUAAUAACAUACGCUUAACGUGAAUUACUACUACUUAGCAUUACCUGCUUGAUCAAAACGUUGACACCGGCACCCUUGCGCCAAGGCGCGAUUCCGAUCUAGUUGUGAUUAACACAGGUGUGCCGACCCUCAAACCCUCAAUUCCUUUCC